ACUCAAACAUAUUGCUUUAGAAUCAGACUUACAUGAUUGUCGAUAGUUUUGACAAAACUAAAAUGCAUCAUACGAAAUUGAUUUAGUUUAUUUUAGAUUUAGUAUUUUACUCAUACCUUACUAGUUUGAAACCAGUGUGUAUUGUUUGGUUUGAGCAGUUUGGCAGUUCCAUCUGCUUAGAUUUGUUUGCUGUAUAUAAAAAUACACAAACUAGGAAGAUCAAAGUUGAAUAUUACGUGAUUAUUACCUGUUACCUGAGUGAAAAUGAAAUAAACCUGAAAUGAACCUCAAAAGUUGUAAAUAAACGAGAAAAACCCGCAGCCGCGCAAUCAACAAGAGCAUCUAGCUGUAAACAAAAAACGAUGAUAGUUGCAGGUCGAAUUCAACAAAAGGUUCACUUUGCUGGCAAAGCUGCUAAGUUUCCGGAUAGCAUUCUGGAACGAUUCUCAACUACUUCAAGAAGAGCAGAGAGGGAACCGUUUUGCGUAAAACUACCUCCGUGGAUCAUCAACAAAGGCGCAAGCGAAAAUCAAACAUCGUUCCUGUAGCGGUGAUAAAAGCUGUCAACCUUCAGAAUGGUUCAGAAUGGUCGUUAUCCAAACUUCCGCCGUGGAAGCAGGUUGUGGUGGUGAUUCGGACAGCGAAUUUCAGCGUAGUCGUUCCCUGAGCUCCCGAGUGAAGUUACCAAGUGUUUGGGAGAAACCGCAGAUGAUUAAAG